rnacentral:rRNA from 1 species
AUGCCUCAGAAACUCCUCCUCACGCUACUGGUGGCCUCGCGCAAGCUGCGGCACUAUUUUCAGGGUCACCCCAUCAAGGUCGUCUCGUCAUACCCCCUGGAGAGAGUGCUCAGGAGCCCUAAUUCAGCUGGAAGGGUCGCUGAGUGGAACAUAGAACUGCAAGUGUUUCAGCUCGAAUUCAGCAUGACCAGAGUCAUCAAGGGAGCAGCAUUGGCGGAUUUUGUGGCAGAAUGGAUGGAGGUGCCAGGCCUCAGGGCCGACGAGGAUCGGUCCCUGUCCCCGGGAAGCGAGGCGCCAGAAGGCUAG